UCAAUGAGAUCACUGUCAAAGCUUAUCCCUUUUAGCCUCAAAGCACAGCUAAACUUGAGACUGUCAUUUCUAAUGGCUCUCCACAGGUUUGAGGCUAACGUAAGAGGAUUACAGUGUAGAAAGGAAAUCUUAAGGACGGUGCCAGCUAUUCCUGCUCCUGGCAUUACUCAAUCUGACCACCUACAGGCUCUCUCCAUGGUCCCAACAUGGCUGCCAUGUUGCUGGGGCCCACUCCUUCUUUGAGAACCCCCCCAAGCCUCUCCCCACCUUCGCCUCCCAUCCAUAGUGACAGGAUGAGGGAAUGCAUGCCUUCUUAUCAUCAUCACCAUCACCUGGCCAGAAAUGCACUUCACCUACAGGGAAAUAGCUUUCUCUCACAAUUGCUGAAUGCUGAGAGUCUUCGCUGGAAGCAGUUGUGCCAGCAAAAAUCUCAUCAGAUUGUUUAGCCCCUAAGAACAGAGGAAGAACCUACCCUUAAGACUGAGUUAGACCUCCAGAAACAGAGCCCCAUUUAACAAUACCUCAUUUGUCCCUGGCCCAGUGAAUUGAUGAGGCUGUGGGUUGUGCUCCAUACGUGUAGGAGAAGCGAAGGGCCUGGGAACCAGGCACUGGGAAGCUCGCAAUCCAUGCAGGAGGUUCCAAGGAGGCUCCCAGGGGCCAGGUCCCGAGGAUGAGUCACACCACCGAGCCAGACCCAGGAAAACAAGGUAAAAAUUUCCCAAGGGGUUUCUACAAGAUUUCCAGCACUUCCUAAAUUAGCCCUGACCAGUAAAACCACGAGAGAAGACUUCCUGGCAGAGCCUGGCACUUCCAUUUCCAGUCCCAACCGAAAGCAGGAAGCAUUGAGACAAGUAAUAAUUCAACUCUUCAGUUGGCUUCCAAAAUUAUCCACAUUCAGGUCACCUGGCAUUCGCACCAAAGUGAGAUGGCAGGACCAGCAGACAAUGCAGCCUUAUGAUUCAAACAGAAGAAGCACUCAUCUUGACUCCUGUGUGCUGUUUGCCAGGAGAGUUAUCACCACUUGUGGGUGCGCGAGCAUUGUGAGCUUGGCCAGAGUUCACAGCUCAGUGGAACCCACCAGGCAACCCUACAGCAUUUCCUGUCGUUCCCUUUGCCUCCCAGCUCUGUCCCUGCUGGGGGCCUACUGCUUAGACAUUCUCCAUCUGUGAUUCCUUUGAGUGCAGCUCAGACAUUUCCACACCUUCUUCUCCACAUACACAGAGUGGAGACAGACCCUUCAGAGGCUGGAGGUGGAGACUUCCAACAGAGCCAGCGCAACUCCAUCCUUUCAAAAAUGGAGAAAUGAGGCCUGAGAAGUGAGGUGAAUUGCUGCCUGGAUGCAUUCAUGCCAUCUUCCUAUUAACGAGAGAUGUUACCAAAAACACUUAGAUCAGUCACCCUUUGCACUAAAGCAGCAAAUAAAUUGAACGAUUCUCAAGAGAGUGGGAGAGGUUGAUCUAGAGGCCUUGUCUCCCAUGAUGUGGUCUCCAAAAACCACCCUGCAUUACAAUAGCUGUGGUAGAAAGACGAUCAACAGUUCAUACUCACAGGGCUCUUGUAUUGGCACACGUCACCUAUUUCACUCCCUCAGCACCCUUUGAAAUAAAUACUAUGGGGAUAACAAUUUUCCAUGUGUGGAAACCAACACUCAGGGAAGUGAAGUUACUAGCCCAAAGUCACAGAGAACUUGGCGGAGCUGGGGUUGGGGUCUUUGUCCUUCCAGAACAUGUAUUCCUAACUGUUGUCCAUUCUGCUGACCAUAAUGAAACAUUACCUGGACGUCCGCUAGGAGUUGCACCCAACCAGUCAGUCACUGAGUUAGGAGGUGGGGGGGUGGUCGCUUUUUGCUGAAUUCUCCCAUCAGCAAGUGAUUUCAUGGCCUGAGGGUUGAGGCAAACUGGAAUGUGUGCAAACCGACCGAGGAACUACCCAAAUCUCUCCUUAUCUGUGCAGCGUCUGCUGUGCAAUAACUGUGUCCCCAGCACAAGCCAGAGAGAACUCUCGAUGGCUUGACCAAGCAGCCCUUGUGCAACGGCCUGCUGCAUCCAGAAAUCUCUUACCCAAGAUCACUUCAGCCUUGCUGUUCUUGAAUGCUGGAAGGCAGCAUAGCCAGCGUGGGGUCCCGUGGUCUCAGCUCGCCGGUUC
rnacentral:lncRNA from 1 species